UACAGGGGGGGCAAGCGUUGUUCGGAAUUACUGGGCGUAAAGGGUUCGUAGGUGGCCAACUUAGUCAGACGUGAAAUCCCUCAGCUUAACUGGGGAACUGCGUCUGAUACUGGAUGGCUUGAGAUUGGGAGAGGGAUGCGGAAUUCCAGGUGUAGCGGUGAAAUGCGUAGAUAUCUGGAGGAACACCGGUGGCGAAGGCGGCAUCCUGGACCAACACUGACACUGAGGAGCGAAAGCCAGGGGAGCAAACGGG
rnacentral:rRNA from 1 species